UGACCCCCCACACUGGUACUGACACACGGACCAGAUACCUACGGGUAGCAGCAGCUAGGAAUAUUGGACAAUGGGCGAAAGCCUGAUCCAGCAACACCGCGUGGAGGACGAAGGCCUUCGGGUCGUAAACUCCUUUUUGGGGGGAUGAGAACGGACAGUACCCCCAGAAUAAGGCCCGGCUAACUACGUGCCAGCAGCCGCGGUAAUACGUAGGGGCCAAGCGUUAUCCGGAUUUACUGGGCGUAAAGCGCAUGUAGGCGGUCUACUAAGUCGGACGUGAAAGCUCCUGGCUCAACUAGGAGAGGUCGUUCGAAACUAGUAGACUAGAGGGUGGUAGAGGAGAGCGGAAUUCCAGGUGUAGCGGUGAAAUGCGUAGAUAUCUGGAGGAACACCAGUGGCGAAAGCGGCUCUCUGGCCCACUCCUGACGCUGAGAUGCGAAAGCCAGGGGAGAGAACGGGAUUAGAAACCCCGGUAUUCCUGGCCGUAAACGAUGUCAACUAGGCGUAGGAGUUAUUGACCCCUUCUGUGCUGUAGCUAACGCGUUAAGUUGACCGCCUGGGGACUACGGCCGCAAGGCUAAACUCAAGGAAUUGACGGUCCCCGCACAGCAGCGGAGCGUGUGGUUUAAUUCGAUGAUACGCGAGGACCUUACCUGGC
rnacentral:rRNA from 1 species